rnacentral:rRNA from 1 species
UACGGAGGGUGCAAGCGUUGUUCGGAAUUACUGGGCGUAAAGAGCGUGUAGGCGGCUGACCACGUCCGGGGUGAAAGCCCGGGGCUUACCCCCGGAAGUGCGCUGGAAACUGGUCGGCUAGAGUAUGGGAGAGGGAAGUGGAAUUCCUGGUGUAGCGGUGAAAUGCGUAGAUAUCAGGAGGAACACCGGCGGCGAAGGCGGCUUCCUGGACCAAUACUGACGCUGAGACGCGAAAGCGUGGGGAGCAAACAGG